CAUCGGUUCUAUUUUGUUGGUUUCUAGGACCGCUGUAAUGAUUAAUAGGGAUAGUCGGGGGCGUCAGUAUUCAAUUGUCAGAGGUGAAAUUCUUGGAUUUAUUGAAAGACUAACUACUGCGAAAGCAUUUGCCAAGGUAUGUUUUCAUUAAUCAGGAACGAAAGUUAGGGGAUCGAAGACGAUCAGAUACCGUCGUAGUCUUAACCAUAAACUAUGCCGACUAGGGAUCGGACGAUGUAUUUUUUUGACUCGUUCGGCACCUUACGAGAAAUCAAAGUGCUUGGGCUCCAGGGGGAGUAUGGUCGCAAGGCUGAAACUUAAAGAAAUUGACGGAAGGGCACCACCAGGGGUGGAGCCUGCGGCUUAAUUUGACUCAACACGG
rnacentral:rRNA from 1 species